rfam:Triticum urartu cultivar G1812 contig281880, whole genome shotgun sequence.
GUGCUACUCGCUUCGUCCGAAAAAGCUUGUCCCAAGCUUGUCUUUUAAAUGGAUGUAUCUAGCACUAAUUUGAUGCUAGAUAGAUCCAUUUGAGGGGCAAGCUUUUUCGGACGGAGGGAGUACAAU